GGACUACUAGGGUUUCUAAUCCUGUUUGAUCCCCACGCUUUCGUGCCUCAGCGUCAAUAAGACCAUAGUAAGCUGCCUUCGCAAUCGGUGUUCUGAGACAUAUCUAUGCAUUUCACCGCUACUUGUCUCAUUCCGCCUACCUCUAGUCCAUUCAAGCCCAUCAGUAUCAAGGGCACUGCGAUAGUUGAGCUACCGUCUUUCACCCCUGACUUAACAGGCCGCCUACGCACCCUUUAAACCCAAUAAAUCCGGAUAACGCUUGGAUCCUCCGUAUUACCGCGGCUGCUGGCAC
rnacentral:rRNA from 2 species